rnacentral:rRNA from 1 species
UACGUAGGGGGCUAGCGUUGUCCGGAUUUACUGGGCGUAAAGAGCGUGUAGGCGGCCACGCAGGUCCGUUGUGAAAACUGGAGGCUCAACUUCCAGCCGUCGACGGAAACCGUGUGGCUAGAGUCCGGAAGAGGAGAGUGGAAUUCCUGGUGUAGCGGUGAAAUGCGCAGAUAUCAGGAGGAACACCAGUGGCGAAGGCGCCGCUCUGGGCCGUGACUGACGCUGAGGAGCGAAAGCGUGGGUAGCAAACAGA